rnacentral:rRNA from 1 species
UUCCGGUUGAUCCUGCCGGAGGCGACCGCUUUUGGAGUUCGAUUAAGCCAUGCGAGUAGAAAGAAAUUAGAUUCUUUGCGAACUGCUCAGUAACACGUGGAUAACCUGCCCUAUGCUCCGGAAUAACCUCGGGAAACUGAGAAUAAUACCGGAUAGAUCACAACGCCUGGAACGGUGUGUGGUUGAAAGAUUACGGCAUAGGAUGGGUCUGCGGCGUAUCAGGUUGUAGGGGGUGUAAAGGACCUCCUAGCCAUCGACGCGUACGGGUGUUGGGAGACAUAGCCCGGAGAUGGAUUCUGAGACACGAAUCCAGACCCUACGGGGUGCAGCAGGCGCGAAAACUUCACACUGCAGGAAACUGUGAUGAGGGAACUCCAAGUGCACGCACUUAGUGUGUGCUUUUUUCAACUAUUAAUCGGUUGAAGAAUAAGGGCUGGGAAAGACCGGUGCCAGCCGCCGCGGUAAUACCGGCAGCUCAAGUGGUCGUCGCUUUUAUUGGGCCUAAAACGUCCGUAGCCUGUUUGGUAAAUCUGUGGGUAAAUCAACGAGCUUAACUCGUUGAAUUCUGCAGAGACUGCCAGACUAGGGACCGGGAGAGGUAUGAGGUACUCUGGGGGUAGGGGUAAAAUCCUGUCAUCCUCAGAGGACCACCUGUUGCGAAGGCGUCAUACUGGAACGGAUCCGACGGUCAGGGACGAAGCCUAGGGGCACGAACCGGAUUAGAUACCCGGGUAGUCCUAGGUGUAAACGCUGUGGAUUUGGUGUGUGGGGUCCGCAAUGGGCCCCAUGUGCCGGAGUGAAGAUGUUAAAUCCACUGCCUGGGGAGUACGGUCGCAAGGCUGAAACUUAAAGGAAUUGGCGGGGGAGCACUGCAACGGGAGGAGCGUGCGGUUUAAUUGGAUUCAACGCCGGA